rnacentral:lncRNA from 1 species
UGAAAUAGAGAUCAAUUUGGCUCUCUCGCCUGGCCUAACCCAAAACCCUCCACCUUCUCCAAGGUGCCUUUUAGAUCUAUAUCUUGUCGCCGCCUUGUCUCCCUGCCUUGCCGCCGCCACUCUUGCUAUCGUCGCUACCUUGCCACUGGUCUCGAAAUUGAAACUCUCCUCUGAAAUAGAAGUUUUCCUCUCUCCAAUUGAAACUCUCAGCUCUCAAAUUUCCGCUGG